rnacentral:rRNA from 1 species
GACGAACGCUGGCGGCGUGCUUAACACAUGCAAGUCGAACGGAAAGGCCCUGCUUUUGUGGGGUGCUCGAGUGGCGAACGGGUGAGUAACACGUGAGUAACCUGCCCUUGACUUUGGGAUAACUUCAGGAAACUGGGGCUAAUACCGGAUAGGAGCUCCUGCUGCAUGGUGGGGGUUGGACAGUUUCGGCGGUUGGGGAUGGACUCGCGGCUUAUCAGCUUGUUGGUGGGGUAGUGGCUUACCAAGGCUUUGACGGGUAGCCGGCCUGAGAGGGUGACCGGCCACAUUGGGACUGAGAUGCGGCCCAGACUCCUACGGGAGGCAGCAGUGGGGAAUAUUGCACAAUGGGCGGAAGCCUGAUGCAGCAACGCCGCGUGCGGGAUGACGGCCUUCGGGUUGUAAACCGCUUUCGCCUGUGACGAAGCGUGAGUGACGGUAAUGGGUAAAGAAGCACCGGCUAACUACGUG